rnacentral:rRNA from 1 species
UUUGACGUUAGCGACAGAAGAAGCACCGGCUAACUCCGUGCCAGCAGCCGCGGUAAUACGGAGGGUGCGAGCGUUAAUCGGAAUUACUGGGCGUAAAGCGCAUGCAGGUGGUUUGUUAAGUCAGAUGUGAAAGCCCGGGGCUCAACCUCGGAAUUGCAUUUGAAACUGGCAGACUAGAGUACUGUAGAGGGGGGUAGAAUUUCAGGUGUAGCGGUGAAAUGCGUAGAGAUCUGAAGGAAUACCGGUGGCGAAGGCGGCCCCCUGGACAGAUACUGACACUCAGAUGCGAAAGCGUGGGGAGCAAACAGGAUUAGAUACCCUGGUAGUCCACGCCGUAAACGAUGUCUACUUGGAGGUUGUGGCCUUGAGCCGUGGCUUUCGGAGCUAACGCGUUAAGUAGACCGCCUGGGGAGUACGGUCGCAAGAUUAAAACUCAAAUGAAUUGACGGGGGCCCGCACAAGCGGUGGAGCAUGUGGUUUAAUUCGAUGCAACGCGAAGAACCUUACCUACUCUUGACAUCCAGAGAA